rnacentral:rRNA from 1 species
UACGGGGGGGGCAAGCGUUGUCCGGAUUUACUGGGCGUAAAGGGCUCGUAGGCGGCCAACUAAGUCAUACGUGAAAUCCCUCAGCUUAACUGGGGAACUGCGUGUGAUACUGGAUGGCUUGGAUUUGGGAGAGGGAUGCGGAAUUCCAGGUGUAGCGGUGAAAUGCGUAGAUAUCUGGAGGAACACCGGUGGCGAAGGCGGCAUCCUGGACCAAUAUUGACGCUGAGGAGCGAAAGCCAGGGGAGCAAACGGG